UGAGUACGAGAUGCUACGGCAUCGAAGCAGUGUAUGUCAUACUUCCAAGAAAAGCUCGCAAUGUCAUAAACAAAUAAUGCCUGUACCAUAACCGACACAGGUGGGUAGGUAGAGUAUACUAAGGGGCGCGAGAUAACUCUCUCUAAGGAACUCGGCAAAAUGACUCCGUAACUUCGGGAGAAGGAGUGCCUUAUUUUUAUAAGGUUGCAAUAACAAGAUCCAAGCAACUGUUUACCAAAAACACAGGUCUCCGCUAAGUCGUAAGACGAUGUAUGGGGGCUGACGCCUGCCCAGUGCCAGAAGGUUAAAGAAGUUGGUUAGCAUUAGCGAAGCUGAUAACUGAAGCCCUGGUGAACGGCGGCCGUAACUAUAACGGUCCUAAGGUAGCGAAAUUCCUUGUCGGGUAAGUUCCGACCCGCACGAAAGGCGUAAUGAUUUGGAUACUGUCUCGGAGAGGGGCUCGGUGAAAUAGACUUGUCUGUGAAGAUGCGGACUACCUGCACCUGGACAGAAAGACCCUAUGAAGCUUUACUGUAACUUGAGAUUGAAAUUGGACUUUAUCUGCGCAGUAUAGGUGGGAGACGUUGAUAAUAUUCUUGCGGGAAUAUUGGAGUCAUCAGUGAGAUACCACUCUUAUAAUGUUAGAUUUCUAACUUUGUAUCAUUAUCUGGUCAAAGAACAGUUUCAGGCGGGCAGUUUGACUGGGGCGGUCGCCUCCCAAACGGUAACGGAGGCGCACAAAGGUUUCCUCUGAACGUGUAGAAAUCGUAUCUAGAGUGUAAAGGCAUAAGGAAGCUUGACUGUGAGACCUACAAGUCGAGCAGGGACGAAAGUCGGUCUUAGUGAUCUGACGGUGCUGAGUGGAAAGGCCGUCACUCAACGGAUAAAAGUUACUCUAAGGAUAACAGGCUGAUCUCCCCCAAGAGUUCACAUCGACGGGGAGGUUUGGCACCUCGAUGUCGGCUCAUCGCAUCCUGGGGCGGUAGUACGUCCCAAGGGUUGGGCUGUUCGCCCAUGAAAGCGGUACGCGAGCUGGGUUCAGAACGUCGUGAGACAGUUCGGUCCAUAUCCGGUGUAGGCGUUAGAAUAUUGAGAGGAGCCUUCUUUAGUACGAGAGGACCGAGAAGGACAUACCUCUGGUGUACCAGUUAUCGUGCCAACGGUAAACGCUGGGUAGCUAUGUAUGGAGAGGAUAACCGCUGAAAGCAUCUAAGUGGGAAGCCCACCUCAAGAUAAGUAUUCCCAUGUCAGAAGCCAGUAAGGUCACGGGAAGAACACCCGUUGAUAGGCUCUACGUGGAAGCGCGGCAACGCGUGAAGCGGAGGAGUACUAAUAGACCGAGGGCUUGAC
rnacentral:rRNA from 1 species